GAUGAACGCUGGCGGCGUGCCUAAUACAUGCAAGUCGAGCGAACAGACGAGGAGCUUGCUCCUCUGACGUUAGCGGCGGACGGGUGAGUAACACGUGGAUAACCUACCUAUAAGACUGGGAUAACUUCGGGAAACCGGAGCUAAUACCGGAUAAUAUAUUGAACCGCAUGGUUCAAUAGUGAAAGACGGUUUUGCUGUCACUUAUAGAUGGAUCCGCGCCGCAUUAGCUAGUUGGUAAGGUAACGGCUUACCAAGGCGACGAUGCGUAGCCGACCUGAGAGGGUGAGCGGCGGCGCGGGGGGGGAGGCGGGGGCCAGGCGCGGGCGGGGGGGAGGGGUGGGGGGGGGGGCGCGGGGGGGGGGGGCGGGACGGGGGAGGGCGGCGGGAGUGGUGAGGGUCUGCGGAUCGUAAAGCUCUGUUAUGAGGGAAGAACAAAUGUGUAAGUAACUAUGCACGUCUUGACGGUACCUAAUCAGAAAGCCACGGCUAACUACGUG
rnacentral:rRNA from 1 species